GAUUAUGGCUCAGGAUGAACGCUGGCGGCGUGCUUAACACAUGCAAGUCGAGCGAAGCGAUUCAAAUGAAGUUUCGGAUGGAUUUGAAUUGACUUAGCGGCGGACGGGUGAGUAACGCGUGGGUAACCUGCCUCAUACAGGGGGAUAACAGUUGGAAACGGCUGCUAAUACCGCAUAAGCACACAGUGCCGCAUGGUACGGUGUGAAAAACUCCGGUGGUAUGAGAUGGACCCGCGUCUGAUUAGGUAGUUGGUGAGGUAACGGCCCACCAAGCCGACGAUCAGUAGCCGACCUGAGAGGGUGACCGGCCACAUUGGGACUGAGACACGGCCCAAACUCCUACGGGAGGCAGCAGUGGGGAAUAUUGGACAAUGGGGGAAACCCUGAUCCAAGCGACGCCGCGUGAGUGAAGAAGUAUUUCGGUAUGUAAAGCUCUAUCAGCAGGGAAGAAAAUGACGGUACCUGACUAAGAAGCCCCGGCUAACUACGUGCCAGCCGCAGC
rnacentral:rRNA from 1 species